rnacentral:tRNA from 1 species
GUUUGAUCAGCUCAAAUGGUAGAGCAACCGACUCAAAAUCGGUGCGUUGCAGGUUCGAGUCCUGCCUCAAACA